CCUACGGGUGGCAGCAGUGAGGAAUAUUGGUCAAUGGACGAGAGUCUGAACCAGCCAAGUAGCGUGAAGGAUGACUGCCCUAUGGGUUGUAAACUUCUUUUAUAUGGGAGUAAAACAGGGUAUGCAUACCCUCUUGUAUGUACCAUAUGAAUAAGGUGCGGCUAACUCCGGGCCAGCAGCCGCGGUAAUACGGAGGAGCCGAGCGUGAUCCGGAUGUGUUGGGCUGAAGGGGCGCCAAGGUGGAGUGGUAAGUCAUGUGUGAAAGUCUGGGGCGCAACCGGCAAAUUGCAGUUGAAACUGGCAGUCUGGAGUACAGGAGAGGUAGGCGGAAUUCGUGGUGUAGCGGUGAAAUGCUUAGAUAUCACGAAGAACUCCGAUUGCGAAGGCAGCUCACUGGACUGCAACUGACACUGAUGCUCGAAAGUGUGGGUAUCAAACAGGAUUAGAUACCCGGGUAGUC
rnacentral:rRNA from 1 species